AAUUACAAAAGCCUUAAAAUUAAUGUUUCAUUGUAAUUGUUCUAGGUUAAACACGUGAAAGGCAUCUGAUAUUUACUUUUCAUUCGUUUUUCAUCUGUUAAAAAGCUUUGAUUCACUAUUUUUAUAUUAAUUUAUCCUCUAUGUGUAAUAUUCAAUUUUUUCCAUGAAGCAGAAGCAAACAUCAUGGCUCGACGAUGCAAGUUGCGGAAAGGGAAUUCCAUCAAUAUUAACUUGGAAAAUGAGACUGAAAAUAAUGUUAACCAGAACUUUCAAGAAACUCAAGAGUUACACCAAAAUCAGGCUUCAAAUUUUCAAGGGAAUACUAGUCAGAAGACAAUGAGGUUCCAAUACAAUUAAAAGAAAAACUAGAGGACCAACACGAUGCUUGAAAAUCACACAAUUGGAGAAUGGGCAAAAAUUGCCAGUAGAAUUUGAUGAAGAUGAUCAAGCUAUUGGUGAUAAUGCUACUGCAUUUGUUUGGUUUUUAGGACAAACUAUUAGAAGUGUGUCGUGUUGUCCAUUGCAAGUGAAACAAUGGAAUAAGAUUACCGAUGAUAAGCUCGA